GACGAACGCUGGCGGCGUGCCUAAUACAUGCAAGUCGAGCGAAGUUUUUCUGGUGCUUGCACUAGAAAAACUUAGCGGCGAACGGGUGAGUAACACGUAAAGAACCUGCCUCAUAGACUGGGACAACUAUUGGAAACGAUAGCUAAUACCGGAUAACAGUAUUUCUCGCAUGAGAGAUGUUUAAAAGUUGGUUAUGCUAACACUAUGAGAUGGCUUUGCGGUGCAUUAGCUAGUUGGUGGGGUAAAGGCCCACCAAGGCGACGAUGCAUAGCCGACCUGAGAGGGUGAUCGGCCACACUGGGACUGAGACACGGCCCAGACUCCUACGGGAGGCAGCAGUAGGGAAUCUUCCGCAAUGGGCGAAAGCCUGACGGAGCAACGCCGCGUGAGUGAAGAAGGAUUUCGGUUCGUAAAGCUCUGUUGUUAGGGAAGAAUGGAUAUGUAGUAACUAUACAUGUAAGAGACGGUACCUAACCAGAAAGCCACGGCUAACUACGUG
rnacentral:rRNA from 1 species